AUGAACCUAAAAGUUAACUUGGAUUGAUUAUCAUUCUCUCUUCCUCUUCCAAUGUAACAGAUUUAUUCCGUUUUGAGAGGGAAGAAGAAAACAGAAAAGGGCACCAAAGUAGAAAUGCUCCAGUUGUUUCUUCCCCUGAGCUGGAGAGACCAACAGAAAGAAGGCCUUUCUAACACAUGAUAGCAAUCGUCUCAUAUGCCUUGGGAAUAAAAAUGGCCAUGCUUCUCCCACAUCUUCUAUAAGAGAUUGUUAGCAUAAGAGUUAUCUGCAUCCUUCUCGUAUUACCAUCUGUCGCCUGGAAUUGGUUUCCCUGCCUGGAGAAAUCCCUUUCAUACAUCUUUUGGAGGAGUCUCUAUCCGACACUUUUGACCUGUUAUUCCUGGGAGAUUUUUUCAACAGUAGAAGCUGUCACUAUGAGGCAAG
rnacentral:sRNA from 1 species